CACUCCUGCGGGAGGCAGCAGUGGGGAAUUUUGGACAAUGGGCGAAAGCCUGAUCCAGCAAUGCCGCGUGUGUGAAGAAGGCCUUCGGGUUGUAAAGCACUUUUGUCCGGAAAGAAAUCCUUGGCUCUAAUACAGUCGGGGGAUGACGGUACCGGAAGAAUAAGCACCGGCUAACUACGUGCCAGCAGCCGCGGUAAUACGUAGGGUGCGAGCGUUAAUCGGAAUUACUGGGCGUAAAGCGUGCGCAGGCGGUUUGCUAAGACCGAUGUGAAAUCCCCGGGCUCAACCUGGGAACUGCAUUGGGGACUGGCAAGCUAGAGUAUGGGAGAGGGGGGUAGAAUUCCACGUGUAGCAGUGAAAUGCGUAGAGAUGUGGAGGAAUACCGAUGGCGAAGGCAGCCCCCUGGGCCAAUACUGACGCUCAUGCACGAAAGCGUGGGGAGCAAACAGGAUUAGAAACCCCAGUAGUCCCAU
rnacentral:rRNA from 1 species